AACGAACGCUGGCGGCAGGCCUAACACAUGCAAGUCGAGCGAAGCCUUCGGGCUUAGCGGCGGACGGGUGAGUAACGCGUGGGAACGUGCCCUUUGGUACGGAAUAGCCCCGGGAAACUGGGAGUAAUACCGUAUGUGGUCGAGAGACGAAAGAUUUAUCGCCAAAGGAUCGGCCCGCGUUGGAUUAGGUAGUUGGUGGGGUAAUGGCCUACCAAGCCGACGAUCCAUAGCUGGUUUGAGAGGAUGAUCAGCCACACUGGGGCUGAGAAACGGCCCAGACUCCUACGGGAGGCAGCAGUGGGGAAUCUUAGAAAAGGGGGGAAACCCUGAUCUAGCCAUGCCGCGUGAUCGAUGAAGGCCUUAGGGUUGUAAAGAUCUUUCAGUGGGGAAGAUAAUGACUGUACCCACAGAAGAAGCCCCGGCUAACUCCGUGCCAGCCGCCGCCGUAAGAC
rnacentral:rRNA from 1 species